ACGUUCGUAGCUCAAUUGGUUAGAGCACCACUAUGACAUGGUGGAGGCUAGUGGUUCAAUUCCACUCGGACGUA
rnacentral:tRNA from 1 species